UGCUUGAGAGAAUGACCCAAAAAAAAAAAAAUGUUGCAAUCUCUUCCUAUGUAUGAAUCAGAGAGGAAAUUUCUACCAUCUUCAAGUUCCACUGAGGAAGUCCAUACCCAAUGCUGGAAGCACCAGGGGAGAUCCCCAGCUCUCCUUGUCUGAGCAACACCAAAGCAAGAUCAGAAUGACUGCUCCAAGAGCUUGCACCAGGUCACAAAAGUAGAAUUACAGGUUGGAUAGAGCCAAAACUUAAGGAAGCUCAUUCUUAAUCUCUUUGGAAACACAGAUUUCCCACUGAGCAGAAUCCUAAUGAGUGUGCCCAACAGGAAUGACAUGCUCCCAUCAGAAAGUACUGUCCAGCCACUGUGAUCUUCAAAAUGCUCUUCGGCUCUUGAAAACACUUCUUCAGCGACUUUCAUAGUUCUUUAAGGAGGACUUCCCCACAUGUUGGAGAACCACUGCUCUAAAUCUAAAUGACCCAAUCAUUCUAGGGUCAUUUACACCACUCAGACUACUGGAAGACAGAAGUCAUUUGUACUAGGUCUUACAUACAUGAAACACGUGUAGAGUCAGAUUUAAAUUUACAAAUUUACAAAUGCCUAUCCUAUCUAAGGUUAUAAUUAUGACAACCCUAUCCCAGGGAAAAGUAUGGAGAAUGGUCAUAAAAAGAGUUCUCAGGUUUGUGUGGACUGAUGACAUCUACACAGGUACCAUGAGAUGGGAGUCUUUAAAUACAGGUAUGGUGGGUAAAAGCAGAAAAGAUCUGACAAAUAACCUUCUAUGAAAAUAACAACAAGAAAGUGUAGAUGCAAACAGAUAAGCUAAGAGUAACCAGACUGCCAAAAUGCCUGAAUUUUCAGAGUCACUUCUACUUUCUUAUUAAGAAAUGCUAUAGAGAGGUAGGAGGGGGGAGGGAAGUGCUGAGGAGCUAUAUCAGCUAAAUUUUGUUGUAUUUUGUGCACUAUGGAUAUGUAACAACAACCCCCCCCCAUUAUGUAUAUAAUGCACCAAUAACAAUGUGAGAAAAAAGAUAUACUAUAGCAAAGAAGAGACUGGGUGAUCUUAAUCUGGGGAAGGCAGAAGUUGAGGGA